ACGUCUAAGCAGUAAGGCUGAGUAUUAGGCAAAUCCGGUACUCAUUAAGGCUGAGCUGUGAUGGGGAGAAGACAUUGUGUCUUCGAGUCGUUGAUUUCACACUGCCGAGAAAAGCCUCUAGAUAGAAAAUAGGUGCCCGUACCGCAAACCGACACAGGUAGUCAAGAUGAGAAUUCUAAGGUGAGCGAGCGAACUCUCGUUAAGGAACUCGGCAAAAUGACCCCGUAACUUCGGGAGAAGGGGUGCUCUUUAGGGUUAACGCCCAGAAGAGCCGCAGUGAAUAGGCCCAAGCGACUGUUUAUCAAAAACACAGGUCUCUGCUAAACCGUAAGGUGAUGUAUAGGGGCUGACGCCUGCCCGGUGCUGGAAGGUUAAGAGGAGUGGUUAGCUUCUGCGAAGCUACGAAUCGAAGCCCCAGUAAACGGCGGCCGUAACUAUAACGGUCCUAAGGUAGCGAAAUUCCUUGUCGGGUAAGUUCCGACCCGCACGAAAGGCGUAACGAUUUGGGCACUGUCUCAACGAGAGACUCGGUGAAAUCAUAGUACCUGUGAAGAUGCAGGUUACCCGCGACAGGACGGAAAGACCCCGUGGAGCUUUACUGUAGCCUGAUAUUGAAAUUCGGCACAGCUUGUACAGGAUAGGUAGGAGCCUUUGAAACGUGAGCGCUAGCUUACGUGGAGGCGCUGGUGGGAUACUACCCUAGCUGUGUUGGCUUUCUAACCCGCACCACUUAUCGUGGUGGGAGACAGUGUCAGGCGGGCAGUUUGACUGGGGCGGUCGCCUCCUAAAAGGUAACGGAGGCGCUCAAAGGUUCCCUCAGAAUGGUUGGAAAUCAUUCAUAGAGUGUAAAGGCAUAAGGGAGCUUGACUGCGAGACCUACAAGUCGAGCAGGGUCGAAAGACGGACUUAGUGAUCCGGUGGUUCCGCAUGGAAGGGCCAUCGCUCAACGGAUAAAAGCUACCCCGGGGAUAACAGGCUUAUCUCCCCCAAGAGUUCACAUCGACGGGGAGGUUUGGCACCUCGAUGUCGGCUCAUCGCAUCCUGGGGCUGUAGUCGGUCCCAAGGGUUGGGCUGUUCGCCCAUUAAAGCGGUACGCGAGCUGGGUUCAGAACGUCGUGAGACAGUUCGGUCCCUAUCCGUCGUGGGCGUAGGAAAUUUGAGAGGAGCUGUCCUUAGUACGAGAGGACCGGGAUGGACAUACCUCUGGUGUACCAGUUGUCGUGCCAACGGCAUAGCUGGGUAGCUAUGUGUGGACGGGAUAAGUGCUGAAAGCAUCUAAGCAUGAAGCCCCCCUCAAGAUGAGAUUUCCCAACUUCGGUUAUAAGAUCCCUCAAAGAUGAUGAGGUUAAUAGGUUCGAGGUGGAAGCAUGGUGACAUGUGGAGCUGACGAAUACUAA
rnacentral:rRNA from 1 species